UGUGCCUUGAGCUUUGUGCAGUGUUGCUAAAUCCAGAUGCUGAGGGGUUGGAAAGCAGUAGCAGUAAAAGGCUUGGAGAUCUUUGGACCUGUCUGGUUCUUGGUGUGCAUGUAGGAUUCAUGUGUCUGGGUUUCCAUGGAGGCCUUGUUUUAAAUGAAAGAUGAGCUUCUGUGUAAUUGUGAGACAUUUGAAGAUAAGAUUUUGGGGAAACAAGCAAAUGCUGUGAUGUUCCUGAACAACUGUGCCCAGCCUUUGGGUGUCUGAAAGCAGAAGAGCGAGGAGGAGCCUUUUGCCAUGGGUCAGAUUUGGUUGUGGUUCUUACAUGAGGUUUGUGCAAGGACAGAGUGUGUGGGGUCUGAAGAGCUGCCCUGCCAUGCCUGCAGGCUUCUCCUGGCUGAGGGAGAGACCUGCAGCUCCUUCCACCCUCCCUUCCCUGGCAGAACACUGCUGCUGGGAGAUGCAGCAGGGGCAGGGCUGCUUUCAGAGCCUAGUUGGAGAAGACGUUACAGGCAUCACCAGGAGGAGUCUUGCUAGGUUCUGUUUCUCAGGCCAGGUCUUAUGAACCCUCAAAAGGGAACCUAACACACCCAAGGAUAGCUUAGCUAUUACCUUUGGAGGCAAAUAAUGAGCAGGAUGGCUUCUGCUGCAGUGUUAGAAACAAAAAGGUUUAAUAAAAGGCAAAAUAACAAACAGAAAAACUCGAGCCAGGUACAGAGGUCUGCCCCUGGUAUAAACACCUCACAAAAGCCACUUAGUUCUUUUGUUCUCCUCUUUUCUACCUGAUGGGCCAGGCAGGACUUUUUGGCUUCUAUCCAAUUAGAUGACCCCGAGUUUUUAGUGAAGCCUCUGAGGUCCUAUGAGGUGGCUUUUCACCUAAUCAUUGAGAGAAACUUCUGGGCUUCUUUCCUUUUUUGGGGAAAAAGGCUAGCUUUGCCACUCUGUCAUUAGGGGGCACACUCCUACACUCCUACAGAGUCUGGCAUUACCUUGCUGCCACUCAGCCCAGAGAACGCUGCUGCCCUGCUUAAAUAUCCCAAAACUGCUCGACCAGCCUUGGGUUUGGAGGAACAUCACCUCUGAAAGGUUGACUCAUGCACCUGAGGAAAUUAGUGUGGAAUAAAGGCUUGGGAAAACUGAAAUGAAUCUGAGCAUCAGCAAUGCAUCAAGAGACACAAAUAUUGCUAAAAUAUAUGAAAUGAAAGUUAGUAGAAAAAAUGAAACGUUUAGUGAAGCAUGCAGAGCUGGAAACAUUGCUAUGGUUAUUACGUUUUAAUUAGUUGGAAACUGUUCAUUCAAGCUUGAUUUCUGUGCAGUGAUUGUCCUAAUGUGGUUGGGUUUGGGAUCUAUAGUUUCUGAAUUUUCCUUUCUUUAUGAGUUCUAAGUCCUGAAAUAUUCCUUGUGCAUGUGUCCUUCUGGCUUCUGGGGUGCUGUGGAGGGAGAUUUUUUUGUACACAAAUUUUGCAGUAAAUGAUACCAUUUACUGCCUAGUGGUACUUGUUGUAGCCCCAGAGACUUAAAUGGUCCAGCUCAAAAGACAUUUCAUGUGAAAGGAAACAUUUGAGGGUGUUUCACAGCAGGAAAGUAGUAUCACCUUAGCUAUUUUAUCUUUCAAUAUUAAAAGGACUGAGAAACUUAGGGCUUGUGUUUUCACAGUGCUCAUGAGCUCAUGUAGCCUCUGUAUGUGCAGUAUGCACACAGACAGCUAAGUGUGUCAGUGAAAAAACUCAAAUUAAGUCUUUUUCUUCCACUGAAAAGUUUCCCCUACUCAGCUGAGAAUACUCCAUUACCAUUAAUAUACUUCAUAAUACCUGUUUUCAGGGACAGGAACAUUUUUAAUGCCUGGUUUCUCUUCACAUGAGUGAAUACAGAUCUACCUGUUAACUAGAGCAUUGGUACCUGGAAUUAAAAUGGCAUAUUUUGGGCAUCACUCUGUGUGUCUGUUUUCCAAUUCCUAAUUUGGAAGUUUUUAUCUUUGCUAUCUUAUCUGAUGCCUUCUGGAAACAAUUUUCCCUUAACACCACUUCAUAAAUUUCAGCAUACACUAGACUGAAGGUUCUGGGCCAUUUCUCACAUUUUGUAAUGAAUUUUCUGGUUGAAUUCUUUUACGGAUAGCACCUCAUACAUGCAAAUCAGUGCCUAAGAUCCUGGUGGAUUUUUUACUGAUUUUAUGUAUACAUCUCUAAGAACUUGUGAUAUAUUCUGAAAAGCUAAGCUGCCACUGAAAUGUGCACACUUAUGUUUUCCAAGGUAUUAAAUUAAAAAUCUGAAAAGGGAUAAGAAUAGGCUAGAAUAAGCCUAUUAACAUAAAACCAGGUAAAAUUAGAAACCAAGUGUGUUUGCAUAGUUAAAUUUUAUUUGGAAUAACCACAACAAUUUGAAAUAACUACCAGAUAUGUUGUCAAAUAGCUGAAUGUUAUUAGGGAAACUCACUUACAUUAAUUUAAUUAAUGCCUCAGGCUUUACAUGAGUAGCCAUAACACUAAGAUGAUUAAUCUCUGAUUGUAAAAGGAAGCGCCAGUAUAGUUCUGUGGCUUCAGAAUUUUCCUCACUGGGCAACCCACAUGAAUUUCAAUUUGGAGUUUAGUUAAACCUUCUUAAAAGAUAGUUCCCAUCAUGUCAUGUUCUUCAGGGUGGCUGAAGGUGGGGGAGGAAGGCAGGGGCCUCUCCCCUGUGAGAGCAGAUCCCAGCCCCCUGUGAGCUCACAGGGAAGGUGCAGCCUGGCUGCAGGAGAGGUCUGCUGCUGAGGGAAAGGUGGUUCUGUGGGGGUGUUUUGGGCACUAAAGGUGUGGACGUAAUUCCCAGAACCGAGCAGCUGCAGAAAAAGUCAGGAGUGUCAGUGGAAAAGAGUCACAAUGAGAGGGAUCCUGCGGCUGCGGAGCAGCACGACACAGAGACCCACAGGAUCCCACGGUUUGAUCCCUGCUUAAAUAAUUUUGACCCAGCCUGGAUGUCCACUUGUAAUCUUGAAAGAGAACGUGUGUGGAAGGUCUCAUUAACCCAGCCACCUGAGAAGCAGGAACACAGGCUCGCCUGCAGCAGCAGUCCUUACAGGAACCAUCUCUACAGCUGGGAAUAGAAGGUGAAUCCUGCAUCUUGCUGCAGAGAGGAAUUUGGAUUUUAAUGUACAGAUUAUUUUGAUUAACAUGGAGAAUUUGGAGAUGGUGGCCAGAAGCUGCAGCCAUGACUCAGUAAGAAGGGGAAAAGUGCUGCUCUGAUAUUACCUAGAAUUGCAUUUAACUUGAACCAGCACAGUGCCUUGCUCUUCUGUGACCUUUACCCAUCAGGAGUUAUUAGCUAAUUGAAUUCAGAAGGCAGGCUUUCCUUUGCUAAAAGUGACCCUGAAAUGGUCUGGAUUGAUUCACACAAAUACCGAACCCUGCUAAGCAGAGCUGUCCUGGGGAACACUUUGCUCCAUGAGGAGAUCUAAUCUGAGCAUCAGCAAAGCUGCAAGGAUUUGAAUCACAGCUUUUCUUAGAGUCAAAAUGAAUACUUCUGAGAAAUUCAAAUGAGCAGUAAGAUGAAGAGCUAAGGAAGAAUUUAGCUUCAAUACUUAUCAGAAUAAAAAAAACAUUCUCACACUUGUGCCUGGGACUGAACAGUCUUUAUAGGCAUGUACUUCUCUGAUUCUCCAU